CUGCCAUCCCACACUUAGACUGAAGGCCCAUUGGAAAUGUUAGCAUCUUGACCCCAAUGGGCCUACUGUCCUAAGUGUGGGAUGGCGG
rnacentral:miRNA from 1 species